AGGGCCGAACUGCUGGUGAGCACCCUGGCCAGCACCGCCAGGCUGGUGCACAGGGCCGAAGAGGCCCAGAAAUCUGCCCAGGUACCUGCCCGGAUGCCUGAGUCCCAUUCCCCAGCCCAAUCUCUUCCUACUACUCCAGGGACUAGGAGCUGAUGGGGGGAUAGUGGUGGCAGUUAGGGGGUGUUGGGGUUGCGGAGUCUAGGCCUGUCUGGAGGGUUCCACUGGGGGUGCUUGCGCGCUGUGUUUCAAGGUGCCUUGGGGGCAUGGGGAGUGUCUCGGCUGUCCAGGAGGUGUCUAUGUUUCUAUGGAGCCAUGUCUAUAGGUGAGCUCUAUGGGAGGCUUUAGGGAUGUCUAUAGGGGAUGUGUAUAGGGGUGUUUAUACAGAGGUAUGUGGUUGUGUCGGUGUCCGGGGGAAUGUAUAGAGGUGUAUAUAGGUAUUACCAUAGGGGUGUCUCUAAGGGAUGUGUAUGGGGGUGUUUAUACGGAGGUAUGUGGUUGUGUCGGUGUCCGGGGGAAUGUAUAGAGGUGUCUAUAGGUAUUACCAUAGGGGUGUCUCUAGGGGAUGUGUAUAGAGGUGCUUAUACGGAGGUAUGUGGUUGUGUCGGUGUCCGGGGGAAUGUAUAGAGGUGUCUAUAGGUAUUACCAUAGGGGUGUCUCUAGGGGAUGUGUACGGGGGUGCUUAUACGGAGGUAUGUGGUUGUGUCGGUGUCCGGGGGAAUGUAUAGAGGUGUCUAUAGGUAUUACCCUAGGGGUGUCUUUAGGGGAUGUGUACGGGGGUGUUUAUACGGAGGUAUGUGGUUGUGUCAGUGUCCGGGGGAAUGUAUAGAGGUGUCUAUAGGGGAUGUGCU